rnacentral:rRNA from 1 species
CCUACGGGUGGCAGCAGUGGGGAAUAUUGCACAAUGGGGGAAACCCUGAUGCAGCGACGCCGCGUGAGUGAAGAAGUAUCUCGGUACGUAAAGCUCUAUCAGCAGGGAAGAAAAUGACGGUACCUGACUAAGAAGCCCCGGCUAACUACGUGCCAGAGGCCGCGGUAAUACGUAGGGGGCGAGCGUUAUCCGGAUUUACUGGGUGUAAAGGGAGCGUAGACGGCAGCACAAGUCUGGAGUGAAAUCCCGGGGCUUAACCCCGGAACUGCUUUGGAAACUGGGCGGCUGGAGUGCAGGAGGGGGAAGCGGAAUUCCUGGUGUAGCGGUGAAAUGCGUAGAUAUUAGGAGGAACACCGGUGGCGAAGGCGGCUUACUGGACUGUAACUGACGUUGAGGCUCGAAAGCGUGGGGAGCAAACAGGAUUAGAUACCCGUGUAGUC